AUUAGAUACCCUGGGUAGUCCACGCCGUAAACGAUGAAUACUAGGUGUCGGGGCCCACAGGGCUUCGGUGCCGCAGCAAACGCAUUAAGUAUUCCACCUGGGGAGUACGUUCGCAAGAAUGAAACUCAAAGGAAUUGACGGGGACCCGCACAAGCGGUGGAGCAUGUGGUUUAAUUUGAAGCAACGCGGAGAACCUUACCAAGCCUUGACAUCCUGCUGACCGUCCCUUAGCCGGGAUUUCCCUUCGGGGCAGCAGAGACAGGUGGUGCAUGGUUGUCGUCAGCUCGUGUCGUGAGAUGUUGGGUUAAGUCCCGCAACGAGCGCAACCCUUAUCCUUAGUAGCCAGCAUGUAAGAUGGGAACUCUGGGGAGACUGCCGGAGACAAUCCGGAGGAAGGUGGGGAUGACGUCAAAUCAUCAUGCCCCUUAUGGCUUGGGCUACACACGUGCUACAAUGGUGGUAACAAAGUGACGCGACCCCGUGAGGGCAAGCCAACCACAAAAAAGCCAUCUCAGUUCGGAUUGUAGUCUGCAACCCGACUACAUGAAGCUGGAAUCGCUAGUAAUCGCGAAUCAGAAUGUCGCGGUGAAUACGUUCCCGGGUCUUGUACACACCGCCCGUCACACCAUGGGAGUUGGAAAUGCCCGAAGCCGGUGACCGAACCUUAGGGACGGAGCCGUCGAAGGUGGAGCCAAUGACUGGGGUGAAGUCGUAACAAGGUAAC
rnacentral:rRNA from 1 species